UCCUACUUCAGGGCCUUUGCACUGCCUGUUCCCUCUGCCUGGAACCUUCUUCUUUCAGAUAUUCACAUGGCUCACUCCCUCACCUCCUUCAAGCUUUGGUCAAACAUCAGCCUCUGAGGAAAAGUUCCCCUGAUUUAUCCUUACAACCCCAUCCCAAACCCAUCUCUCUGCCUCAUAUUUUAUCACCUAACAUACUGUUUAACAUACAUUGCACCUAUCUUGUCUACUGUUUAUUCUCUCCCAUCACCCCCCCCCCCCCAUUGGAUUUAAGCUCACUGAUAUGUCUGAAGGGUCAAAAACAAUGAGAACAAAGCCUUAUAACACAACAGGUAUGAGACUGCAGAGGUGCCGCAGGCUCUGAGGAGGCCCCAUUCCAGCUGCACGUGUCCAAUCCAGGGCAAAUGCUCCCAGGAAGAGGGGGCUUCCAUGUGCUCAUAUGGCUGCUCUCAGUCCCACAGCGAUAGCCUGUCAGAAUGGAUGGAAGCUAAGAGCACCCAGGCCAGCCUUCCUUCCAGACCCACCAGCUUGCAACCAGCAGACGAGAUAGGCCUGCUCCUUUCUGCCUCCCUGAUCUCUAGCCCAGUAGUUGCUCAGUGCAGCUUUGAACUAGGACAACCUCCUACUUUACAGCUGGAGAAAUGUAGGCCCAAGAGGGGAAAGGAUUUUUACAAUUCUAGGCCAGAAUCAGAAACUGAACCCAGAUUUCCUUUCUCCUAGCCCAGGGCUUUCCCCACGAUGGUGGGAGGGGUGAAGAAAAAGUUAUAUGCAGCCUGGCCAGUGUUGCUCAGUGGUUGAGCAUUGACCUAUGAAUCACAAGGUCAUGGUUCGACUCCCAGUCAGGGUACAUGCCUGGGUUGCGGGCUGGAUCACCAGUGUGGGUCAUGCAGGAGGCGGCCGAUCAAUGAUUCUCUGCCAUCAUUGAUGUUUCUAUCUCUCUCUCCCUCUCUAUUCCUCUCUGAAAUCAAUAAAAUGGAUAUUGUUUUUUUUUAAAUUUUAAGUUAUAUGCAGAAAAUUGAAGCCUCAUAGAAGUGCUCCAGGCCCAGCCUCUGCCCCCACUCCAAGCUCACCUACCAAUGCCAAGCCAUAGAGAAUCCAAGCUCUGCCCACUCACCUCUGUCCACAACGAGGAAGGCAGCCAAGGCCAGGGCGACCAGCCACAGACGGACGGCCAUGCUGAUCCUGGUUGGUGUGGGCUCAGCUAGUGAAGCCUGGGCCAGGGGAAGGAUGGGGGCCUGUUUAUAGUGCUGAGCCCUCCCCUUAUCUUAUCUGGGGCCAGAUGGAGAGGCCAGGAGUGGCAUCCUGAGUAAUCUCUGCACCUUGGCAUCCGGAAAGGGCUUUCUCUACGCAGAGAUGCUGAGCUGAGGUGGGGUGGGACUGUGUUUAUUGGGCUGGCAGAUUUUCAAAUUGAGGAAAAGUUGGACAACUCACAAAGUUGAUGCCAGUCUGAGGGCUGGAGCAAGAGGGAAAGGGAAAUUGGAAGUAGAAAGAGAAAAACAGAGAAACCAAGUCAGAAGAGAGAGAGAGAGAGAGAGAGAGAGAGAGAGAGAGAGAGAGAGAGAAGGCAGUUCAGAAAGAAAGAGGAAAAAGCAACUGGAAGGUGGCAGGAGGCAGAGAAAAGGGGCUGGAAUGCCUCUACCAAAAAAAAAAAAAAAAAAAAAAAAGGAGACAUAUGUAAUACUCUUUGUAAUACUUUAAGCAAUAAAACAAUUUUAAAAAAAGAAUUGUAAAAAAAAAAAAUAAAAAUAAAACAGCCUCAGUUUACCUGUGCACAAAAUGGGGGUGAUAAUUCUGGCUCUGUCUACCUCAUAGGGCUGCUGUGAAGAUGAGAGUGUUGAUAGCAGAUGGGAAAAUAUUUUGCAGUGUAUGAAAUGAGCUAUAAAGACAGAUCCUCCAAAAGAAACUCAUUUGUCAAUGAUCCUCUCCCCAGAGGUAUCGUCAACCAGGGAAGAUGAACUCUUACCACAGGCGAGAAGAGUAGAAGUCAACAUCACACAUGAAAGAUAAACUGUCACAAACCAUCAUACUGCCAAUCUCUUCUUCUGUCUUUCCUAAAAAUAAUAUCCUCUCCCCUAAGAGGCCUACACCGCCCUCCUCUUUCCUUAUUACAAUGGUAUUUAAUCCUGAAUUCUAAACCACCUCUGGGAGUUACUCAUUUCCCAUGUAUACAUGAGGUAUACAUGUUAAGAAACUUCUGCUUGUUUUUCUCUAGUUAAUCUGUCUUUUAUUAUAGGGAUCUCAGCUAAGAACUCAAAAGGGUAGAGAUACAAGUAUUUUUCCUCCCCUACAACAGCAAAACAAAAUGUGGAAAUAAAAACACUGCCUUUCAGCUUAUAUGUUUGCCCCUGACCCCAGGGGAGCAUAUGUGUGAUGCAUCCCCAGUAGGGGGUACCUGUCGCCAGUGGUGGAGUCCCAUAUUUAUUCAAGGACUGGGUUGGUUCUGACUCAACUGUUUCCCAGCAUCCUAUUCCAUGUGGCCACCUAACCCUGGCUGAGAGACCAAGAACUCCCCAUAUCUCCAUAUUGGUGCUCAGGACAAUCAAUGGGAAUCACUGUAGCAACCCCACUCCUACAAGACACCCUCUUCCAAAGGGGUCUUGCCUUACCUCCUCCUACUUUAUUCUGAAGGAGAAGUAACUCAGAGUUGUUUGUGGAGGUUCCGACACUAACAAGGACAAGGCAUAUCCUGAGGUGGAUGCCUUGGUUGGGUUUUGCUAGGGUCAGUCUGGUCUGUUCCUUCCUGAUAACGUGGUCAGAACAUGAUGUAUGUGUUCUCUUAAAAACAAUAAAUACAAUUCUGGCUACAAAAAUAA